rnacentral:rRNA from 1 species
UACAGAGGUCUCAAGCGUUGUUCGGAUUCAUUGGGCGUAAAGAGCUCGUAGGCGGCUUGUCGCGUCGGCUGUGAAAUCCCGUGGCUCAACUGCGGGUCUGCAGCCGAUACGGGCAGGCUAGAGUUCGGUAGGGGAGACUGGAAUUCCUGGUGUAGCGGUGAAAUGCGCAGAUAUCAGGAGGAACACCGGUGGCGAAGGCGGCGUUCUGGACUGCAACUGACACUGAUAGACGAAAGCCAGGGGAGCAAACGGG